CUGCUUUUGGUCAAAAGGUUGCAAUAGCAUUACAGAGUUCAAAAGAUUUACCAAAAGUAAAAUACAUGUUCCAGACAUUGCUGUCAUGGCCCUUGAUUAACUUGCCAUACCACAAAUGUUUUCAUCUCUAAAAUGCAAAGCACAAAUGCCGAGCAAACUGGGCUUGUGAAAUUUACGCCUCAGAGUAUCGUGAUUAGCUGAUGUGCAAUAUCCAAGGAAGGUUUAGUUAAUUCUGUAGAGUAGAUCCUCAAAUAAUAUGAUUUCAUUUGACAUUGUUUAUUAUAAUGUUAAUGAGAUAAAAAAGUUGAUUCCCAGAGGCCCACUGUCUGGUGAGUGAAGUUUGUACAUUCUCCCUGUGUCUGCCUUUGUUUUCUCCAGGUACUCUGGUUUCCUCCUAUAUCCCAAAGAUGUACACAUUAGGGCAACUGGUGUGCCUACACGGUCCCAGUAGGAGUGAGUGCGUGUGUGUGUAUCUGUGUACCCUGUGAUGGGAUAAUGUCCUGUCUAGGGCUGGAAGGCUGGUUUCCACCUUAUCCAUGAGAUGCCAGGACAGGCUCUAGCCACCCCAGGCCUAGAAUAAAGGGUAUCGAAAAUAAAUACAAAUGAUUGUCAAGUAAAAAUUUGCAAAGUCUACAAUAAUCACGCAAAAGCACGACAAUAAAUGAUAUGACACAAAAGUGCUCAGCUAGCUACCACAUUUGUUACUGUUUGUUAGUGCUCAGCUAGCUACCACAUAUGUUACUGUUUGUUUUUGAAACUUCAAAGAAAAAACAUUCUUAAUAAUCAUACUUUCAAAUUAAAAUAAAAUAUGUUUCUAUUUUUUUCAGCACACAUUGACUUUAAUAGAUUUUUCUUUCUGGUCACAAUUUCCUUAGCAUUUCCAUUAACCAACAAAGUAUUUGUGAUGUGUGUUCAGUGUGCCCAUUCUUAAUGCUUUUACUUUAUUCUAAUCUGAUUACUAUUGUUGGAUAAAAUAAUAAUAAAUCACAAAUUAUAAUCACUUUUAUAUGCAAAUUUCAGAGAAAACUGUUGAGAUAGUAAAGAGUAACACAGUACUGCUAAGAAGAUUUUAGUUUCUGGCUCUCUUCAAUGUGACUUUUUU
rnacentral:lncRNA from 10 species